AUCCAGUUACAGCAAUAAAUUCCCUUCCUCCUUAGUUUGUCUGCUUCUCAUUAUUGGGCCUCGAGAAAACACAGCCAGAUCCAGCUUGGUUCCAGGAACAAAAAUUUUGGCAAGCCAGCCAGGAGGCCGCCAGGAUGGUGCUGCCUUUGGUGACUGGCAGUUUGCGAGGAGACAGUCGUGAGGAAACUCCCAGCAGUUACUGGAAACGUCAUAGACUUUGCGGAAGCCCACCACCCGCUCCAGUCUGGUGAUCACGUGCUGCGGAAGAAAUGGAAGGAAGCUGGUCCUGCCCAACAACUACAAGAGAAAGGGAAAGAGCCCUAUGACGGGCUGUCCACCACUGACUCGGCACUGACACUAGCAGGCAUCCAGCCUUGGGUUCAUCAUGUGUGGGUGAAGAAAUUCCAGUCACCCGAGAACUCCACCAUGGGAAUACCUGCAACCACUCAAUGGGAGGCAGAGCCCCUAGAGGGCCUGAAGUUUCUAUUCAGAAAAUGAUAAGAAUUUCUUUUAUCCUAUUCUUUCUCUUUGUACCUAGUAUUGUUUCUGCACACACUGCUAACCUCUUUCUACAAUGGGCACAGGACUAUGCAGACAGCCUCCAGCAGGAUUCCUAUUGGGUCUGUGGCCUGUUACCCCUUUCUAGCACCACAGGUUUACUGUGGUGGGUCUCACCUACGCGAGGGAAAGAUUAGAGACAUUUACAAGUCUUCCUGGAUUUAAAACACUGGCCUGGGUCACAAAUGAUAGGAGUGACUAGGGCAAACAUGUCAGAAUGGCCCAUAAACAUAACUUUAAAUGACCCAGGACAUGAAAAGUCAUUCUUGAUUAACAAAACAAUAGACAAAGUUAUAGCACUAGCUUGUUAGAACCAAAAGUGCCUAUGCAAACUUUUAAACCCCAAAAUGUUUGAUACCAGAGUGGCUUUCUCCAAAUUUGGGAUGGGCUCAUACGGUUAACCACCUCUACUGGGCACUCGAGUCAACUAGCCCCCUUGUGUUGGGAACAAUGAAACCACUCCCUUGACCACUGGCCCAAUGCCACAUGGGUUAUGGGAUGGAUUCUCCCAGAUCGGUGCCAACAUAUUAUAGCACUCCAGCAAAGGGAUGUAUUUGCCACAGACUGGUCUCAACUGCCCAGCCUAAAUAUUGGGAGCAACAGCCCAGUAUGCUCCCAACAGGACUCAGUGGCUUUGUGGCACCAAUUUGUGGCCAUGGCUCCCUGUAGGCUGGCUAGGAUGCUGCACUCUAGGCCUCCCAUGAGCACAAGGCUGGUGGGUACAAAAAAAAUUAAAAAAAAUCCAGCCUGUCUUCCACAUAUGAUUAAUAGGUGGACUAAGUCAGUCUUUCAUUAGUACGAUCAUCUAGCUGCAAUAUUCAAGCCCUCAGUAGGGCUAGGAACUGUUAUAUGGCAUAUAGAAGCCCCAGCUAACUUUACCAAAAGGACUCUGAAUGACAGCCUCCAGAGCAUCUCUCUAAUAAAUACUGAAAUGUGUCACAUGCAGAAGGCUAUUCUACAAAACCGAAUGGCCUUGGACAUCCUUACUGUAGCUCAAGGGGAAACUUGUGCCCUCAUCAAAACUGAAUGCUGUGUAUAUAUUCCAGAUAACUCUGGGAACAUCUCCCUGGCAUUAAAAGAUAUGCACCAGCAAAUUCAGGUCAUCUCCAGCCCAGAGUUGUCACUAAGUGAUUUCUUGCAUCAUGGUUUGGUGGAAGGCCCUCUUGGUGGCAGAAAAUUCUGACGUUCUUAGCCAUUAUCCUAGGCAUAGGUGUCACUUUAUGCUGUGGAAUGUAUUGCUACUGUGUGCUGUUUCAGAACAUUCCUUGGACUCAUGCAGUUAUGUUCCAACAGGCACUGCCCCUAAGACCCCGAAAUGAACAGAGGACAGGUGGACCUCUUCCACUCCAACCCCAGUUCAAGCACCCCUGAUGACGACCCCUCUCAGCAGGAAAGAGCCAGAAUGAUCACAACGUCCAGCACUCCAGCAGCUCCUCUGCCACAAGCAUGACAAAAAUCAUGCACAAAUUGACAGUGGGGAUUGCGGCAGGUCAAUUCUCCCUGAUAAUCCCACAGAAAAGUCUCUAUGACAAUCACACAGACAGGCCUGCACAGCACUUCAGUUACACAGACUAAUUUCCACAGAGCUGCCUUAACACUGAGUAAAUAGUUAAGCCUAGGGAAAUCAGUGCCCAGACAUCAAAGCUAGAAAUGAAACAUGCGGUCAAGACUUCUCCCUAACCUAGAGCAAACCAAAAUAAAGAGACAGUCUUGCAUUCCUAGUGCCAGGACCCAUCUCAGGUCGAUGAAAUCUGAGACGAGUCAAAGCAAGAGAGGCAGCUGUUUGAAUAAAUUCGCUGGAGAGCCUAAGGCAGAUCUCCAAACUAAGCUGUAAAAAAGGUAAGAUAGAAGUCAUCACUGUCGUACCACAGUAGACAGGCCUUGAAGGUACUGGGGCCCUUUUAAUCAGACUUAGCAAGCAUUUUUGCCUCUGAUCGUCUAGUCAAAACAAAAUUAGUUACCAGUAGACUUAGGCAAAUGCUAUACUGCAUGUAGGCACAUAACCCCAACCUAUAUAAGCACGAAGAAAAUUGUAACACUUUGAGUUGGUCUGGUGGAAUUAUCUCUGGCCUUCUCCCUGUAUCUGGUUGCAACAAUAAAUUCCCUUCUUUCCUA